rnacentral:misc_RNA from 1 species
GAUGAAGAACGUAGCGAAAUGCGAUAAGUAAUGUGAAUUGCAGAAUUCAGUGAAUCAUCGAAUCUUUGAACGCAUCUUGCGCUCCUUGGUAUUCUGAGGAGCAUGCCUGUUUGAGUGUCAUUAGAUUCUCAACUACACUGACUUUGAAUUGGUGUGGCUUGGAUUUGGGGGGAAAAUUGUUGUGGGCUUUUUGUAUAGUCUGCUCCCCUGAAAUUGAUUAGCGGUACCUUUGUGGAACUGUCUACAGGUGUGAUAAUUAUCUACAUCUUAGACAUCUGCUGGAAUGCUGCUUUCUAAACCUUACUUGUAUUGACAAUCUUGACCUCAAAUCAGGUAGGACUACCCGCUGAACUUAAGCAUAUCAAUAAGCGGAGGA